AGGGACACGCGGAUUCGCGCGUCACAGUGACCCCCACCGUCUCCUGGGAGAUGGGACACUGAGGCUUGGUAAAGCAGGUGAAGCAGGAGGCAACAGUGGGUCGGUGUCGAGGCUCCCACCUGACCUCUCCAGGGGGUCGACAGGAGGUUUCCUGGAUGCCAGGAAAAUGCCAGGGGUGGCGGAAAGUGACAGGGAUGAAGAAACCUCAGGUGGAGUUUCAGAGAGCGGGAUCUCAGCCUCAGGCAGGCCCAGACGGUGUGUGGUGUCUGCAAGUGGGGUGUCAUGUAUGGAUCCAGUUCAUUGUUGAGGUUGUUACUUGCCUUUUGGACAAAACUCCCAGUCACACAGAUAGGACAUAA
rnacentral:lncRNA from 1 species